rnacentral:tRNA from 1 species
AGUAAAGUGCUUGACAAAAAGAUCGUCUUGAUGGGGCGCAAUAUGGAGGUUAAGCCCUCUCUUUACUA